rnacentral:rRNA from 1 species
ACGCUCGACACCUACGGGAGGCAGCAGUGGGGAAUAUUGCACAAUGGGGGAAACCCUGAUGCAGCGACGCCGCGUGAGUGAAGAAGUAUUUCGGUAUGUAAAGCUCUAUCAGCAGGGAAGAAAAUGACGGUACCUGAGUAAGAAGCCCCGGCUAACUACGUGCCAACAGCCGCGGUAAUCUGAGCGGGCUGGCAAGGC